rnacentral:lncRNA from 1 species
AUGACACUUCUCAGCCCCAUCUCAGCAUCCAUGGAGCAGGUGCAUCUGAGCACAAGCCUGGUGGACCAGACUACAAGCCUAAGACGAGGGCACAGGAAGCCUGGGUAUUGCCCACAAACACUCCAUCCAGUUCUUCCAUGGCCUGCCUUGAGGUCUACCAAGCAUUUAAAAGUCACCUUACCUGCCUGGGUGCAGCUGCAAGAAGAAAAAAGAAUGCUGUUCGUGGAGUCCCUGCUAUGGCACAACAGGUUCAAUGGUAUCAAUGCAGCACCAGGACACAGGUUUGAUCCCCAGCCCCACACAGUGGGUCAUACAUCUGGUGUCAUCAUAGCUGCAGCCUAAGUCACAUCUGUGGCUUGGAUCUGAUCCCUGGCCUAGGAACUCCAACAUGGUUCAUAAAGUGGCCCCCAAAACAAACAAACAAACAAAAAAAAAAAAAGAAAAAGAAUGCUAUUAGUUAUAGUUCAUGUGAGAACUCCAAAUGUUUCUUCUUUUUCAAAUUAAAAAAAAAUUUCUUUAUUUUAGGUUCAUUACAUUUAAUUGUGAAUUUUAGAAGAAGUGGAUUAAUUUUGCCUGAAAAAAGUCCUGCUGAGCUUUUGACUAGGAUUAUGUUCAGUCUCUAAAGUGAUUUGAAGAGAACUGACAUCUUGGCAGUACGACAGGCUUCCAGCCUAUGAACAUUUAAUCUUUUCAUUUAUUUACGGCUUUUUCAAAUUCUCUCAGAAAUUUGGGGGGUGAAGAACACACCAUUAAGAAUGCUAUUUGCAUUGUAUCUCAGGGUUAACAACCCAGCUAGUAUCCAUGAGGCCACAGGUUCCAUCCCUGGCCUUGCUCUGGGUUAAGGAUCCUGUGUUGCUGUCAUCUGUGGUGUAGGUCUCAGACCUGGCUCAGACCCUGCAUUGCUAUGGCUGUGGUGUAGGCCAGCAGCUGCAGUUCCCAUUUGACCCUAGCCUAGGAACUUCCAUAUGCCCUGGCUGUGGCCCUAAAAAGACAAAAGAAAAAAUAUUCUUUGUUUUAUAUAUUUUAUGUAGGUGACCUAUUGGGUGGAGAGAGUGUUUCUUUUCUUACUUUUUGAGCAAACUUUUAGAUUAAAAGUAAAUAGUGAAUUUCAACAAUUUUUUUUUUUGCAAAUAGCGAGGUGAUCCUUUUUUCUUUUUCAAUUGUUUAAUAUGACAUUGAUUUUGAAUGUUAACUUAUAUCCUUGGAAUGAUCCUCCUUCAUCAUGAUAUGUUAUCUUUAUUACACAGCUUAAAUACAGCUUGCUAAAUAUGCAUUUAGAAUUUCUGACUCUAUGAUGAAUAUUGGUCUGUAGCUUUCUGUUCUUGUGGUAUUAAUUUGACCGACAGUGUAUUUCAUUUUUCCAGUGGUAUGUGACAGCAUUUACUGUUGUUGUCAUAUGUUUUACUUUUGCAUGUACAUUAUAAAUUUCCCAUUACACUCCUGUCAUUUUUGAGUAAACCAAUUAUUUUUAAAGGUAUUAAAAUAAGAACAAAUAGAUGGCUUUAUCAAGGAGCUACCACGGUGUUCUUCACUCUUGUUUAAAUGCAGAAUGUAAAUGCAUUUUCCUUCUGCCUGAAGGAAUUCUUUGGACAUUCAUUAUAGUGCUGGUAUGCUGGUCAUGAAUCCUUGCAAGUUUUGUAUAUCUGAAAAUGCAUUUUCUUCACCGUUGCUUGAUUUAAAGAUAUUUUUGCUGGGUAUAGAAUUCUAUGAGAUGAUUUUUGUUUUCCUUUUGUUUGUUUGUUUUUAAGUACUUUAAAUAUGUUUGUUACUGAGAAGAAAUCUAAAGUUAUUUUUGUCUCUCUGUACAAAAUGAUUUUCUUUUCUUCUGGUACUUGUAAAAACUUUAUGUCUAUCAUUCGUUUUGAGCAAUUUCAUUAUGAUGUGCCUUGGGAAAUUUUUUUCUCAUCUUUUACACUUAGAGUUUGUUGAGAUUGUUGCAUCUAUAGCCUUAUAGCUUUUUUUUUUAAAGUCUUGAAAAUUUCUGGCCAUUAUUCAUUCAAAUUAUUUUUCAGUCCUCUUCUCUUUCCUCUCCUUUGGCAAUUCCAAUCACCCAUGUAUUAGGAUAUUUGAUAUGGUACUAUAGUUCAUUUCUGCUCUUUUUUCUCUGUAUAUGCAGUUGACCUUUGAAGAACUUAGGGGGUUAGGGACAGUUGCAUUUGGAAUAGCCCCCUGUAACUUUAUAGUUUGCCCUAAAUACCCAUGGUUUUGCCUCUGCAGAUGCAACCAACCACAGACCAUAUAGUACUCCAGUAUUUAUUUUUAAAAAUCUUGUUGUGUUCCCAUUGUGGCUCAGUGGAAACAAGCCCGACUAGUAUCCAUGAGGAUGUGAGUUUGAUCCCUGGCCUUGCUCAGUGGGUUGAGGAUCUGGCAUUUCCAUGAGCUGUGGUAUAGGUCACAGGCACAGCUUGGAUCCCACCUUGCUGUGGCUGUGAUGUAGGCUGGCAGCUGCAGCUCCAAUUCGACCCCUGGCCUGGGUGUGGCCCUUAAAAAAGCAAAAAAAAAAAAAAUCUUGGCAUUAGCAUAUUCACACUGAGGUCUAUGGAAUGACUGGCCAGUGGAGACCUGUGGUCUAUCACAGAGAACUCUACCCAAUAUGCUGUGAUCAUCUAUGUGGGAAAAGAUUCUGAAAGAGAAUGGAUCAAUCCCUUGGUUUUACAGCAGAAAGUAUCACCACCUUGUAAAUCAACUCUACCUCAAUAAAACUCAAAUCAAAAAAAAAAAAAAAGUAACA